CCUACGGGUGGCUGCAGUGGGGAAUAUUGGACAAUGGGCGAAGGCCUGAUCCAGCCAUGCCGCGUGUGUGAAGAAGGCCUUCGGGUUGUAAAGCACUUUCAGUGGGGAAGAAAGCCUUGGGGCUAAUACCCUCGAGGAAGGACAUCACCCACAGAAGAAGCACCGGCUAACUCCGUGCCAGCAGCCGCGGUAAUACGGAGGGUGCGAGCGUUAAUCGGAAUUACUGGGCGUAAAGCGCGCGUAGGCGGUCUGAUAAGCCGGUUGUGAAAGCCCCGGGCUCAACCUGGGAACGGCAUCCGGAACUGUCAGGCUAGAGUGCAGGAGAGGAAGGUAGAAUUCCCGGUGUAGCGGUGAAAUGCGUAGAGAUCGGGAGGAAUACCAGUGGCGAAGGCGGCCUUCUGGACUGACACUGACGCUGAGGUGCGAAAGCGUGGGUAGCAAACAGGAUUAGAUACCCUAGUAGUC
rnacentral:rRNA from 1 species